GGGGCUGACUGGAUUUGACAGCAAAUGCAUAAAAUAGUAAGCAUGUUGAGCAUUGUAUUUUAGCUCAUAAAUAUUAAAAUUCAACUUUUUUAAACGGCGAAAAUAAUUACGCUUUAGCUGCCUAAUUUAUAUAAUUACGUAAGCUUUUGUCUCUUUUAUAGGACCUCCUGACUCCUAUAGAUCAUGAGGCAUAAUUAAGUUCAGGAUAGUUAGAUUAUUGCUUUUAUAAUCUAGCAAAAUUUUAAAAAGCUAAGAAUUAAUUUUGGUUGCUUUUAACCUACUUAAUUUCGAAAAUUAAAAAAAGAUAAACAUGUAGAAAGUUAUUAUAUCCUUUGUUUGGACGGGGGUUCGAUACCCCCCAGCUCCACCA
rnacentral:tmRNA from 1 species